rnacentral:lncRNA from 10 species
CUGUUCUAAGAGUAAGGAGAGCUGAUGGCACAUACCCCAGCUAAAUUUCAGAAGAGCUGGAAUGCUGUAGACCAUUGACUGCUAUGAUUCCCCAUUUUCACCCCACAUUUUUUAAACAUGGAAAUGUCUACCGUAAUCAUUGUUCUGUUCCUGUUUCCUCAUUAUAUGUUAGGGGAGGGGAAGUAGAUAUCUUGUCUUUUUAUUUCACAGAUCUGUCAAGAGAAAUAACAUCAGAGAACUCACAUCUGAGAAGCCUGACCCAGACCUAACGCAGGUUGUGAGAUUAAAAUCCUCAAGUGUGAUGCCGUGAUUUUCUGAGAUGUUGGGGAUAUUUGGAAAGGCUGGAAUGAAGUGGCAUGACCUCAGCUCACUGCAACCUCUGCCUCCCAGGUUCAAGCAAUUCUCCUGCCUCAGCCUCCUGAGAAGCUGGGAUUACAGGCACCUGCCACCAACCUCGGCUAUUUUUUGUAUUUUUAGUAGAGACGGGGUUUCACCAUGUUGACCAGGCUGGUCUCAAACUCCUAACCUCGUGAUCCGCCCACCUUGGCCUCCCAAAGUGCUGGGAUUACAGGCCUGAGACACCACGCCCAGCACUUUUCAUCUUCUGUGAAGAGCAUAUGUGAAUCUAACCCAACCACUAUGUUGAAUACCACGUUUGUUUGUAGAAUUUGUGGAAGGAAAUGAAUAAAGAAAAAUGUAAUGUACUACUAAUUCAUGAUUAUGCUAGACCAAGAACAAAAUGGUAUGUUAAGGCCAUAUAAACCUGCAGAAGCUGAGAAAGGAUGCUUCAAUAAUGAAUAAUAUAAAAAGUACAAUUAGAUGAGCAAUAUAAACAGAAAGUGUCUUCAAAAAUAUUCACAGAAAGCAUUCAGUGCACAGCUUCCAGGAUUUUCAGAAAAGAAAAUGCAAAAAUGGGUGCUGGUUUUCAGAGACAGGAUACUUUUCCUGGUACAAAAAUAGUGGCUAGGCCUAAGAGGACAUGGCUGGGAUUUACUCACUAAAAUAAGAAUUUGGCUAAAGAAAAAGGCAGGCAAUAAAUGAUCUACAAGUUACCAGCAAUGAAACUAAACUGAUGCUAGACCAACGAGCUAAAGUCCUGGGAUGUGUUUAGUAUUCCUACCUUAUUCACAGUUUAGAUUUCCAUGAUAUUGGUUAUGUGGGGCCGACCACGGUCUAAAAAUAUUAAAUGAAAAAUUCCAGAAAUAAACUAUAUAUUUUAAAUUACACACAGUUUUGAGGAGUAUGAUGACAUUUUGUGCUGUCCUGCUGUGUUCCAGGACAUGAAUCCUCCUUUUCCAGUGUAUCCAUGCCCUAGAUACUCACUGCUCACUAGUCACUUAAUAUUAAUAGUUGUCUAGGUUAUAAGAUGGACUAUCACUAUAUCACAGUGCUUGUGUUCAAGUAACCCUUAUUUUAUCUAAUAAUGGCUUCAUAGUGCAAGAAUAGGAAUGCUGUCAUAUUGUUAUCAUUGUUAUAUUUUAAUAUGAGUUAUUGUUGUUAAUCUCUUCUGUGCCUAAUUUAUAAAUGAAAGUUUAUCAUAGGUAUGUAUAUAUAAGGAAAAAAGCAUAGUAUACAUAGGGUUUGGUACUAUCCAUGGUUUCAGUCAUCCACUGGGGAUAUUGGAAUGUACCUCCUGUGGAUAAGGGGCAGCUACUGUAUUCUGUUUUCCUGUGACAAAAUGGAAUCUAUAAUAGGGAGAUGCUGACAUAAUCUUAAUUUACAAAUUAGGAAAUUGGAGAGGGUUUGGUCGAGGUAAAUAAAACUCAGAGAUGACCUUGAGUUUAUGCCAGUGAAUAAUCUUUAUAAGAGGCAACACUGUGAGCAUUUUGUGCUGUUGUUACAAGGCUGCCGAACUGACUGUCUUCCAGUAACUGACAAGAACUUUCUUCCCAGUUGUGAGUGACCAGAGAUUUGUCACAGCACCAGUAGCUUCAAUGAUUUGAAAAACGUCUUGACUGGAAGCACAUCCUCAAGUUCAGUUUCAAAACCUUAGAAAUUUAUAUACACUUUAGUGAAUAUUAAUCUGAUUCAAGCAGACCAUUUUCCCCAUGAAUUAUAAAGGGUUUGAAUAACCCAACACUUUUCUGAAAUGUUGUCUUUUUUCUCCAGUCAUAUCCCUGAUGAGUAGUUUUUUUCUUAGUCCCUCCUGACUUGACAUUCUCAUUAUUCAUUUUUGGACACUUGUUUAUCCACAUUUCCCCAAAUCACUUCCUGUUUAUAGAUUGCACCAAGUUUUAGUCUAGAGUGCUUUGAAUAUAAUGACUGAUUAUGCUUCCAUUCCUGGAAACAAUACUGAGUAUGCCAGUCACAGUUCUGUAAACUUGUUUACCCUUUAGGGAGGAAUAUUUGAUCUUAUCAUUUCCUGAAAUUUACCUCUUUUUAAUUUACAAAUGAUUACACAUAGCUGAGCCUCUACUUCAGGGAUUUGAUAAUGUCUCUACUUAGGAGUAGAGACCUACUCUUUGAUUCUGUAUCUGUCUUCACAUCAAUGGAAUAUUCUACUCUUACUAAAGUAAAUCUGACAUAUUAGCAGAAGAUUGAUAUAAUGCAUUUGGUGAAUUCAAUAAAACUGCAACUUGCCUUUUACUGUUAAUAAUUUCCUUCCAUGUUUUAAAAAUCUUUCCUAAAAAGUAGCUGAACAUUUGUCCCAUUGUUUAUAAUUUUUUAUAUCUUUCAGUACCAAACUCACCAUUAUCUUAAUUAUUAGCUUUAUGUGCUUAUUAAAAUGAUCUCAAAUUGUAUAUAUUUUAUACUUAUUUUUAGCCUCAGUUUUUCUGUUUUCA